UUGGCUGAAGAUCAAGAGAUGUGGUGAGUUCUACAGCUCUUGAGUAAAGCCUCUAACAUCCCGCCAAUUGUUACUGCCCUCCCUUGCAAGCUUUUAUUGAGACCUUCAAGCUGCAGGAGAAUAUCCUGCCCAAGGAUAAGGCCAAGUACCGUGUUGCCUUUCUGGAGAUGGUCAAGAAGGCCACUUGCUCGAGGAGCUGUGACCCCUUUCGAGGAAGCCAACUCCUUCAAUGCAGUCAAGAUCACCUCGUAUUGGACUGGCCAAACAAACAUCCCAGGUCAUGGAUCCAUUGGAGGGCAUCUCGCACAACUGGUGUGGAUGAGCAGGCUGCUUGCGUGACCAGAUUCACACAGUUUGGCCACGAAGACCCGAGAUUGGAAGAUUGAGACGGAGCAGCACAUCAGAGGCAAUUUUCCAAAGAUGCUCGCCAGUUGUGGAAGAGGCCUCGUACAACCCUACAAACUCCUCCCUUGGUUCCAGAUCUUGGUCCACAUAGCGGAGGCAGUUGGAGAUCUGCUCUGUUCCACUGACGUUGUGUUCCGUCCAUUAUGAGGGAAUACUGCAGCACAGGUAAGGCAGAAAUCUCUGCGGCUAUCCCCCUAAUUAUAAUAUGAGCUAUUAUGCUCAGUAACUCAUUUUGUAUUUCCGGGCUUGUGUAGGGAUGCUCUCUCUUCAGCCAGCUUGCAAGGUCGGGGUCAUCCUCCGCCUUAUCUCAAAGAUAAUUUUGGAAGUUUCCAUCCAAAUUGGCAUGGCCUCUAAGAGCCAAGCCCUGUUUGGAGAGGUACCUUACCGCACCUACAAUUUGUAAAAGAGCCAACCUGGCUGCCUCUUGGGCCCUUGCUGAAGGGCGGCACAGUUUAAUUCUUACGGAAUCCUUUGUGUGCGCCUGUGUGUUGAGGGCAAUUAAAUGUGCCUUGCUGUUUUGGUGUCUGCUGAAUGAUUCCCUACUUUUUUUUCAAGUUUCGGAACCCUACAGAGAUUAAUGUUUUUUCAGCACUUUUGGCCAAUGUUGAUUUUUGGUUUGCAAAAGCAGUCAUACAGGGGAAACACAAAACCCCCUUAUCUUGCUGGCUGUAGUGCAGCCAAGGGAAUGCUUCAUACCAAAUAUCUUGGAACGUAAAGGCCUGAUUCCACCGGACGCGUUACGGCAACGUUACGGCUGCGGCACGUCUUGGCCGCGGUCACCGCAGCAGAUAGGUUCCACUCUAAUCAAUGAGACCAUUUCCACCGGGCGUGGCUGCGGAACGUCUCAGCAGCGUCCCAGGAGCGGCUCGCCGUGCCGCAGCGCUAUCAUUCCGUAGCAUUUCUAUUUUUGCCGCAAGCCGUUGCUGAACCGCGUCAAUUUCAACAGAGCAGAUCGAGCAGGGCAGUGAAAAAGUAAAAGCCAUAAAGCAUCCGGUCAAUUUUCAAAAUAAAACACAAUACUCAGCUCAUGUAGCCUAUCACAACGUCAUUUAUGUACCAAAUCAUCCUUUUUAUAAGGGCAAUGGCCGGAAGGACAAAGCGUGGCAUUUAAUUGCAGUAGUUUUGGGAGUGGAAGGUGAGUACAUUAGGUUUAGGAUUAUCGCGUGAUCUCGCAAUCUCGCGUGAAUAUGGCUGGCUCGCAAGGCAACGCUGCGCUGCCGUAACGCGCCCGGUGGAAAUGCAAGCAGGGCAGAGUCGCAGCCGUUCCGUGCCGCAGCCGUAACGUUGCCGUAACGCGUCCGGUGGAAUCCCCGGGUAAGAGUCCUAUUCAGCAGAGUUUGUGGCUCAAUUUCUCGUGCACUGGGCUGUACGGGCCAUCCAAUGGGUGUUCAAGGCAGAUCCCCUCAGUUUGAGUAGCUGGCUGCUCCUGAAAUGUAGUUAGUUCAUUGGAUGUGAGUAAGUGUAAAUAGUUCAGUGUGUAAAUAGUUGUUAAUAGUUGCAUUUUUGUGGAGUAGUCCAGUAGGAUUGAGGACUGCAUAUUUGGCAAACAGAAUGCAGAUUUCAAUGUUGACUUGUUUUAAGAUCAUUGUUGCUGCAUGUCUUUCUCAAGACAUUUGAGGGCCUCACCUCGUCAUGCUCAUCUGCCUGUUCCUGCAUCUCUUGGUUUAUCUCAG